UACAGAGGUCCCAAGCGUUGUUCGGAUUCACUGGGCGUAAAGGGUGCGUAGGUGGUCAGGUAAGUCUGAUGUGAAAGCUCUGGGCUCAACCCAGAAAUGGCAUUGGAUACUAUCUGGCUAGAGGAAUGGAGGGGGGACUGGAAUACUUGGUGUAGCAGUGAAAUGCGUAGAUAUCAAGUGGAACACCAGUGGCGAAGGCGAGUCCCUGGACAUUUCCUGACACUGAAGCACGAAAGCUAGGGGAGCAAACAGG
rnacentral:rRNA from 1 species